rnacentral:miRNA from 1 species
AUCAAUCUUAUUACGUUUAUAG